rnacentral:misc_RNA from 1 species
GAUGAAGAACGCAGUGAAAUGCGAUACGUAAUGUGAAUUGCAGAAUUCAGUGAAUCAUCGAGUCUUUGAACGCACAUUGCGCCCCCUGGUAUUCCGGGGGGCAUGCCUGUCCGAGCGUCAUUGCUGCCCUCAAGCACGGCUUGUGUGUUGGGCCCCGUCCUCCGAUCCCGGGGGACGGGCCUGAAAGGCAGCGGCGGCACCGCGUCCGGUCCUCGAGCGUAUGGGGCUUUGUCACCCGCUCUGUAGGCCCGGCCGGCGCUUGCCGAUCAACCCAAAUUUUUUAUCCAGGUUGACCUCGGAUCAGGUAGGGAUACCCGCUGAACUUAAGCAUAUCAAUAAGCGGAGGA